GAUCCUGGCGUCAGGAUGACGCUGGCGGCGUGCCUAACACAUGCAAGUCGAACGAAGCGCAUGCCCUGGAACCCGUCCCGGGGGAAGGGGCGAUAUGACUGAGUGGCGGACGGGUGAGUAACGCGUGGGCAACCUGCCCCGCACUGGGGGACAACAGCCGGAAACGGCUGCUAAUACCGCAUAUGCGCACAGCUUUGCAUGAAGCAGUGUGGAAAACUCCGGUGGUGCGGGAUGGGCCCGCGUCUGAUUAGCUGGUUGGCGGGGCAACGGCCCACCAAGGCGACGAUCAGUAGCCGGCCUGAGAGGGUGGACGGCCACAUUGGGACUGAGACACGGCCCAGACUCCUACGGGAGGCAGCAGUGGGGGAUAUUGCACAAUGGGGGGAACCCUGAUGCAGCGACGCCGCGUGAGCGAAGAAAUACCUAGGUAUGUAAAGCUCUAUCAGCAGGGAAGAAAAUGACGGUACCUGACUAAGAAGCCCCGGCUAAAUACGUG
rnacentral:rRNA from 1 species